rnacentral:rRNA from 1 species
GGAUUGCCUUAGUAACGGCGAGUGAAGCGGCAACAGCUCAAAUUUAAAAUCUGGCCCCUCCGGGAUCCGAGUUGUAAUUUACAGAGGAUGCUUCGGCGUCGGCCCCGGGUCAAGUCCCUUGGAACAGGGCGUCCUGGAGGGUGAGAGCCCCGUACGCCCGGGCCGCCUUCGCCGUGUGAAGCUCCUUCGACGAGUCGAGUUGUUUGGGAAUGCAGCUCUAAGAGGGAGGUAAAUUUCUUCUAAAGCUAAAUACCGGCCAGAGACCGAUAGCGCACAAGUAGAGUGAUCGAAAGAUGAAAAGCACUUUGGAAAGAGAGUUAAAAAGCACGUGAAAUUGUUGAAAGGGAAGCUCUUGCCGCCAGACUUGCCGCGGUUGCUCAGCCGCCCUUCCGGGCGGCGCACUCUUCCGUCGGCAGGCCAGCGUCAGCUCGAGCGGCCGGAAAAAGGCCCUGGGAAUGUAGCCCUCCUCGGGGGGUGUUAUAGCCCGGGGUGCAAUGCGGUCAGCCCGGGUUGAGGCACGCGUUCGCUAGGACGCUGGCGUAAUGGCUGCAAGCGACCCGUCUUGAAACACGGACCAAGGAGUCUAACAUCUGUGCGAGUGUUUGGGUGACAAACCCGUGCGCGUAAUGAAAGUGAACGGAGGUGGGAACCCCCGAGGGUGCACCAUCGACCGAUCCUGAUGUCUUCGGAUGGAUUUGAGUAAGAGCAUAGCUGUUGGGACCCGAAAGAUGGUGAACUAUGCCUGAAUAGGGUGAAGCCAGAGGAAACUCUGGUGGAGGCUCGCAGCGGUUCUGACGUGCAAAUCGAUCGUCAAAUUUGGGUAUAGGGGCGAAAGACUAAUCGAACCAUUUGAAUCUCACGCUACUAGGUGGUUAAGAGACGCCGGGGGCACCCACGCACAUGGUUCUCGGGCGUCUAACCGGCGGGGACAUAGGCCUCCCGUUGAGGGUUGCGUAUGCGGCCCCGUCCGGCAACGUGGUCAAUUUGCGGGGAUAUCCUUAUCGCCCGCGGCUACCGCGGCCCCGGAGUCCGAGUUUUCCUCGGACGCCUGCAAAGGGCGCAGCACCGAGCCUCCGGGCUCGGGGAUGGUAAAAACGCCGAGGGAUUGGGCGAUCCGCAGCCAUACCCCCGAGGGGCACCCAAGGGUGCGCUUCACGGGGGUUUGGUCCACAGACUAUAGGGUCACGGGCGGCGCUUCCCGCCGCUCAAGAUAUAGUCGGGUACCUUCGAGAGAAGUUGGUCGACCCGGGGCUCCCUCCCCUGGCCCCCAGGGGUAAGUGGAGGGUUAAGCUCUCCGGGGUCAAGAAAAGGGAAUCCAGUCGCUAGUAGCUGGUUCCUGCCGAAGUUUCCCUCAGGAUAGCAGUAACGUUUUCAGUUUUAUGAGGUAAAGCGAAUGAUUAGAGGCCUUGGGGUUGAAACAACCUUAACCUAUUCUCAAACUUUAAAUAUGUAA